rnacentral:rRNA from 1 species
UACGUAGGGUGCAAGCGUUGUCCGGAAUUAUUGGGCGUAAAGAGCUCGUAGGCGGUCUGUCGCGUCGAAUGUGAAAACCCGGGGCUCAACCCCGGGCCUGCAUUCGAUACGGGCAGACUAGAGUUCGGUAGGGGAGUCUGGAAUUCCUGGUGUAGCGGUGAAAUGCGCAGAUAUCAGGAGGAACACCGGUGGCGAAGGCGGCUUCUUGGGCCUUUACUGACGCUGAGGCGCGAAAGCCAGGGGGAGCGAACGGG